AUUUUGUUAAUUCUUAAUAUGAAAAGUGCACCUGAAACUAGCCAGUCAUGUUAUAAUUUUAACAUGUUCACUUGUAAGACUCGGCUCGUGCGAGGAAGAUAACGUCGUUCAAAGUGGCACAACGGUCUGUGUGCCCCUAUCACCGCCAUAAUAUGCAAAUCCUCGACAUUAUCUAUGUUUAUGGAUUCUGAAUCGGCAGCUGUUUAGUCUCGAUAGUAGUAAACAACUACAGGUCGCAUAAUCGAUCGUUCAGGAACAUUUACCGUUUAAAGUUUCCUUAUUAGGAGAGACGAAGAGAGUUUGGAGCUUAAACAUGCAGUAAUGCAACUUUGUCUUGAAAAGCUUUCCAUACAAUAAUAACUAAGACAGAUAUUUAG
rnacentral:misc_RNA from 1 species